UACGGAGGGGGCUAGCGUUGUUCGGAAUUACUGGGCGUAAAGUGUGCGCAGGCGGCAGAGCAAGUCGAGUGUGAAAGCCCCGGGCUUAACUUGGGAAUUGCGCUCGAAACUACUUUGCUGGAGUGUGGCAGAGGAAGGUGGAAUUCCACGUGUAGCGGUGAAAUGCGUAGAGAUGUGGAGGAACACCAAUGGCGAAGGCAGCCUUCUGGGCCAACACUGACGCUCAUGCACGAAAGCGUGGGGAGCAAACAGG
rnacentral:rRNA from 1 species